GAACGCAUCGUACGUAAGAACCUUUGUGACCGUAGCUUUAGUAGGACUUGAGUUGGAAGCAAGAUAUCUUCUGCUAGUUACAUGCAUCUUUAUACUACAACAUCUCCACUACAUUAGCUUUAUUCAGCUUCACUUAUCAUCAAGAGGAUUUUGUCAUACAGCUUUAAUCUAUUUGGAUAUCAUCACACAUUGUAAACUUUUCAUCGCUGGUGUUCGCCAAAAGGAGUUUUAAUCUGGUUGAACCGCCUUUUGUUAACGGUAUCACUACAAAGCUUGAUUCUUCGCUGUUUUAUCGAUGUGCUGUCGGUCUGAUUCGUUAGUUAUACGCUACACCAAUCUGAAAUAUAGGUUCUAAAUCACUUUCAGUGUAAUGGCCAGGUUUACGUCCAAAAUUAUGAUACUUUACCUAAUGUUUUGGACUAAAACUUGUCUUUCUUCUUGAUGUUUAAAACAAGCUCAUGAAUUUUGGAAAUUGAUACCAUGAGUUACCAAGUUUUUACAAGUGAUUACAGAUCUGUCGCAUGAACACAAAAUCUUAUUAGUGAUACACAAUUGUCAACUUGGUUGUCAGCAAUCAUCACCAAUGAUAUGUAAUGUACUUGUAUAUGUAAUGUACAUUCUGAGAUAAUGCAAUAAUUGAAUAUUUAAAGGGAAUAUUAAUGUAUGUUAUCUGUUGAUUGUAUAGUAUUGCACCAUGAGUAUCAUGACUUUGGAUACACAAGAUAAGUUCUCAUGGUGCGAUCUUCAGAAGGGGACAAUGAUGAAAAGGAAAUGUAUUUUGAUAACUGUUUAGUUUCAGAUAAAUCACAGUUUCUUAAAACGUUAAUAAGAGAGGCAUGUAUAUUACAAAUUGAAAGAAGCACUUCAGAAGUGUGAUAGUACGGUUAAGGAAUGUAUUUGAAACUGAAAUAACUUCACCACACUGAUGGCUCUUGGUGGACAGUAUUAUAUAAGAGAUGAUGAUGAAGUAUAUCCUCCAGAGGUUUUUUUUUAAUGAUGUCUGUAAUAAUACCUGACCCUUGACCCAUUGGCAUCAAGAUGGGCAUUCAUGCUAUUAGUAACUCUUAAUCAUGAAACGAAAACAGGUGAAAGGCUGUCCUUAAUUAUUUAAUUGGCUUUCAUCCAUGUUUCUUGUUUGCGAAAUGGCAUGCAUUAUUGCACAGGGUCUUUUCGGUACAUAAAACUACAUGUAUCAGAUUAAAAAUCUGAACAUUUACCAAUGUGUACAGAAUGUGAUCUUUAAGCUACUGUGUAUUUAUAUUAUUACUUUUGUACAUGUUAUCAUGUAAAACAUGAGGUUUAUAUUGUGGAAUGAAAUGAAGGAAAGAUCAGUAAAUAUGGUCAUAAUUUUAUAAACAGAAAAAGAGAAGUUCCUUAUUGUUUGUGUCUUUAUCGUUAUUGUUUUAUGUGCUUGAUAUGAUUUUCAGUUCAAUAAAUUUAUUAUGAACUCUU